rnacentral:rRNA from 1 species
UACGUAGGGACCGAGCGUUGUCCGGAAUCAUUGGGCGUAAAGAGCGUGUAGGCGGCUCGCUAAGUCUUGCGUGAAAUCUCGGGGCUCAACCCCGAGCGGUCGUGAGAAACUGGCGGGCUAGAGUGCGGGAGAGGAGAGUGGAAUUCCUGGUGUAGCGGUGAAAUGCGCAGAUAUCAGGAGGAACACCAAUGGCGAAGGCAGCUCGCUGGGACGGUACUGACGCUGAGACGCGAAAGCGUGGGGAGCAAACAGG